rnacentral:tRNA from 1 species
CAUAGCUUAACUAAAGCAUCCGGCUUACACCCGGAAGAUAUCAAUUUCAUUGACUGCUUUGA